GAUGAACGCUGGCGGCGUGCCUAAUACAUGCAAGUCGAGCGAACAGACGAGGAGCUUGCUCCUCUGACGUUAGCGGCGGACGGGAGAGUAACACGUGGAUAACCUACCUAUAAGACUGGGAUAACUUCGGGAAACCGGAGCUAAUACCGGAUAAUAUAUUGAACCGCAUGGUUCAAUAGUGAAAGACGGUUUUGCUGUCACUUAUAGAUGGAUCUGCGCCGCAUUAGCUAGUUGGGAAGGUAACGGCUUACCAAGGCAACGAUGCGUAGCCGACCUGAGAGGGUGGUCGGCCACACGGGAACUGAGACACGGUCCAGACUCCUGCGGGAGGCAGCAGUAGGGAAUCUUCCGCAAUGGGCGAAAGCCUGACGUAGCAACGCCGCGUGAGUGAUGAUGGUCUUCGGAUCGUAAAACUCUGUUAUUAGGGAAGAACAAAUGUGUAAGUAGCUAUGCACGUCUUGACGGUACCUAAUCAGAAAGCCACGGCUAACUACGUG
rnacentral:rRNA from 1 species